rnacentral:lncRNA from 10 species
GUUUUCUAAUGCACAAAGCAGGGAAGGUCAUAUUCUAUCUGGGACACGUCUACUGCCUGAGACUUCUCCAGCAUUUAAUGUGGUAGUUUGGAGACGUCAUACCCACCACAACCUGGGUCUCAGGUUAGGAGAAUCCAGCUGUGGUUAGAGGGAAAAAAGAGACAGAUACAGCACAGGAGGUAAAUGUCAGCAAGAGAAAGAUUUGCUGUGCUUCAUUCUGAUGAGGGACCUGGAGGGUCAGCAUAUUUUCAUCCCACCCACAUGAGAUCAAAAGCCACAAUUCUCUCCCUCAUCCUGCCACUUUCCUGAGGCCUAUGCUCCCACAAGUUGCCUCAGGCAAAAGCUGGUUGGACUUAAUUAACCGACAGCCUAAGCAGGAGACCUAAAGAAGGAGGAAGCAAAGAGGACUCCUAGGGAAGGUUAAGCAGUAGAAAGAUAGGCAGAACUUUUGGGGAAGAAAAAGAAAAUGGCAGAUGGCAGGUGUCAGGUUCACAACUAUGCCAAUUGCCAUGUUGAGGUCUGAAGGAAGUGGGUGGAUGAGCAGAAAGAACACUCGGGGGGCCGUAGGCAGGUGAAAGAUGAUUUUAUUCAGCAGCUGCUCUCAUCAACGGCUUUCUCACACUGUCUGCCCUGUCUCGGCUGCUUAAUCCACUGGCUCCCACACACAGCUGCAUGGCCAGCUCUCCCUUGCCUUCAGGGUCAGCAGCUUAACUCUUUCCCUCACUGGGCAUGAGUAAGCUGAGCCAUGUCCAGGCUCUUACCUUGCAUCUGCAAAGAUGGACAACUCUGACUCUUUCUCUCCUUCUCUGGGUGUAAGCAUGCCUCCACAGUCAACAGGGCAAUUAUACCUUUUACAGACAAUAGUGGCUUAGGGACAAGGGAUGGCCUUCCCAUGUUAUGGCUACAUAGCUGUGUUUACAUUAGACAUGGAAUUGUGCACCUGCGUUCCAAACUCGCUGAGUCACUCUGGCCUGGAUGUCUGCCUCAGCCUAUUCCUUGACCAAAGCACAGCCAUGUUCUUUAAAGUGGGAGAGCAGAGGGCAAGGACUUUUUGGUAUCAGCCUGAGAAAGAUACAAUAUGGGCUGAGAGAAACAGAGUCACCUCAGAAGCAUUGUGUAGGCUGGGCGAUGGAGUUUUCAAGAGUGUAGACACAUCCAGGUUUAAAUCACAGGACCACUUGCCUGCUGCCAUCUUUAGAAGACACAUAACUGAAGGUUAAAUCCCCAGCUUCCCUUUAGCUCAUUGUGAAUAUAUUCCUCAGUUCUGGUCAAUAGCAUGUAAGCAAGAGUGCUAUGUAGCACUUCUGCUAAAUGUCCUUAAAGACAGUGCUAUAGAUUAAAUGUCUGUGUCCCCCUAAAGUUUUUAUGUUAAAAUCCUAAGCCCCAAUAUGAGGAUAUUAUGAGGUUGGGCCGUUGGUAAGUGAUUUGGUAGGCAGAGCCCUCAUGAAUGGGAUUCAGGACCUGUAAAAGAGACCUCAGAGAGCUUUUUUACUCUUUCUACUACGUGAAGAUACACACAGCAAGAAGAUGGCUGUUUAUAAACAAGGAAGCAAGCCUCACCAGAUACUGGAAUAUACGGAUACCUUGAUUUUGGACUUCCCAGCCUCUGGAACUAAGAGAAAUACAUUUUCGUUAUUUACAAGCUACCCAGUCUAUGAUAUUUUAUAUAGCAGCCAGAACAGACUGACAGAGAAGUAGCGUGUCUUUCUUUAUCCUUUUCUCUUUCCUAAUAACUGAAUUGUAGAUAUGAGGGUUAGGGUUACAACAGCUCUUUGAACUUGUGAGGUGAGAUACAAAAAAUGGUGGAGUAGCAAGCAAAAGAGAACCUGAAUCUAUUAGCAUCACUGAGCUUCCAAACUUGUCAUAGACUGGCUUCCUCAAGCAAUAACAUGGGUGGGAGAAAUAAACUGCUGUCUUCUAUGAGCCAAUAUUAUUUUGAAUUUCUGACACCUUUAGUCAGACUAAAUCCUAAUAUGUAUGCAAUCCACUGUCUUCCAAAGUAUUGUCCUUCUGUUAAAUUUCAUAUUACAUUUCUUUUCCAUUGGACUUUUCUCUACAACAAUCCUGAACUACAUGUUGGCCCAAGACCGUAGAAUGAUGUCAAAUCUUACUGCUUUGGUUCAGGUUGUUCCCUUUGCCUAACAUCACAUACCCCACAGCUCUAAUAGUCUUCAUUUGAAUUUUAGAAUUAUUACUUAUUUUUCAAUACCCUGCUCACACAUCAUCUCCCAUAAGAAGCAAUCACUGACAAUUCACUUCAUGCCUCCCAAAGGUGAUUUUGCCCUCCCUCUCACAACCUCUGGAGCUGUACAGGUUUAAAAUUUCACCACUCACAUACACUGACAGUUACUUAUUUGUGUGUGUUCUUUUCCUAUUAAUCCUUGAGGGUGGUGAUUCUGUCCUAUAUAUUUGCCAUGUCUAGCAGUCUCUGGCAAUUUGUAGGUGAUCAAUCAAAAUACAGUUCUGAUUUCAUAGGUCAUAAUCAUAUUUCUGGAGUUUUCCAAUAAAAGUAAUAUUUCAUAUAUACUAUUUCUCAAUUCAAAGGAAGAAAAUGACAUUCUCUCAUUGCAUUUCGGACUGAUCAAAAACUUAAAUUUUAAGUUGUGUGUUAUUCAAAAGAUUGAGUGAUUUUAUUUGAGAGACUACAUUCUAUUCUGAAAUGCUUCAUAAUAAAAGUUGUUGCCUCAGAAAAAUGUUAGAACAUUAAAAUGGCAUUUAGUUUAAAUGUAAUACAAUUUAUGAAAAAUCGUAAAAGCAUACUUUUAGAUAUCUCUAUUAUCUUUUAAAAAUAUGGCUUCCUUUCUAAUACCAGUUUUUCCUUCCAAAAAAGAUAUACCCUAUUUUUUCUCCCUAAAUGUUUUCUGAGCAUUUUCCUAUGUCUUUAAAUUGUCCUCAAAACAAAUAUUUUAAAAAAAUUUUUUAGACACAUCUCACUUUGUCACCCAGGCUGGAGUGCAGUGACGCCAACAUACAGCUCACUGCAGCCUCUAUCUCCCAGGCUCAGGUGAUUCUCUCACCUCAGCCACCCAAGGAGCUGGGAUUACAGGUGCAUGUCAUCAUACCCAGAUAAUUUUUUUGUAGAGACAGGGUCUUGCCACAUUGCCAAGGCUGGUUUUGAACUUCUGGGUUCAACUGAUCUGCCUGCCUCAGCCUCCCAAAGUGCUGGGAUUACUGCAUAAUAUUCCCCUUUAGGUUACUAUAUUAAACUAAUCUACUUUCUGUCCUUAUGUAUUUGCCUUUGUUGGAUGCUUUAUAUAAAUGGAAUCAUACAAUAUGUGGUCUUUUGUGACUGGCUUCUUUCAUUAAGCAUAACGUUUUCGAGAUUGUUGUAGCAUGUAUCAAUGUCUCAUUCCUUUUUAUUGCCUAAUAAUAUUCCUUUGUAUGGCUAUGUCUCACUGUGCUUGUCAAUUUAUCAGUUGAUGGAUAUUUGGAUUAUUUCUACUUUUUGGCUAUUAUGAAUAAUAAUGGUAUAAAUAUUAAUGUACAGGUUUUUGUGUAGACAUAUGCUUUCAUUUUUCUUAAGAAUAUACAUAGCUUAC